CCAGGCUGGAGUGCAAUGGCGCAAUCUCGCCUCACUGCAACCUCCACCUCCCGGGUCCAAGCCAUUCUCCUGCCUCAGCCUCCCGAGUAGCUGGGACUACAGGUACCCGCCACCACGCCUGGCUAAUUUUUUUGUAUUUUUAGUAGAGACGGGGUUUCACCAUGUUGGCCAGGAUGGUCUCGAUCUCCUGACCUCGUGAUCCACCUGCCUCGGCCUCCCAAAGCGCUGGGA
rnacentral:lncRNA from 1 species